rnacentral:lncRNA from 1 species
GUUUUGCUACGAACCACCUUCGUUGGUUCCUCAUUGUAAGGUUUUAUUUCUUAUAUAAACGAAUUUCAUUUUCAAUGGUUGUAAUGAAUUUAUGAAAAUCACGAGUAUAUAAUAUGGUGGAGGUUUUUUCUUUUAAUCAGGUAAGGAUUUCACUCACCUACUCUGGUUCACUCUUCAUUGACAAUUGCGUUUCGCUCUGACUUAUCUGUGAGCAAUCUGUAGGUCUGUGCUCUAUACUCACCCCUCUUUUCUUUUUUAUUUUUGCUGUAACUUCUUUCAUUUGUUCUCACUUCAUUCCUCUGUGUUGUGCUGCCUCUACAUUCUGUUUUUGCUCGUUGAUUCUUGUUAAUAAUUCGUUAAUCAGAUUAAUAAUAAUUGGGUGUAUAACAUACGAGUUUUGAUCAUUAAUGAUGAAUAUAUUUCUAAUAUUUAGUAAUUCGUUUUUACUAUUUUUGAGAACUUAUAUGUGUGCACUAUAAGUUAUUUUCAUUGAAUCUAUUAUAUUUAGUGAAUUGGUCAUCCCAUCAUGUCCUACUUCAUUAUACCAGGUUUUCGAUAAGCCACUCCGCGCCACUAUCCAAGAUUAACUACCCUGAGGCUAAGUUGAAUAUACAAUAGAUAUUACCAAAAAAAAAAUACUUCUAAAGUUGAACAAUGAAACUAGACCUUAAGAAAAACUUGUGUCCCAUCUUGUCACAAAUAGACAUUCAAAAUGCCAACCAUUUGACAGUAUAGCACUGUUGAUAAGGGGAUUUACCUCUUGGUGAAUAACCUGCUCUACCUAACCUAUAAUUCUUCCAAGCUGUGAAUUGACCCAACGUAACACCAAUUUUCCAGAUUUUGUCUCAAUCUAUCACAAGAAAAAGGGGCAAGGACCAAAGUUUAGAAUAAAUAAAAUAGGUCUAUUGGAUAUCCUAGCUAGCUCGUAUUAUAAUGGGACAAUAGCAGAUGGUGCCUCUGUUCUGUUUACUUAAUGCUUCAUUUUCUUUUAUUAGCAUUGCCUUCCGUAAUAUGCUUCCUCUAAUCCGUUAGCUCCAUUUAAUAUUGUCGCGGUUUGGAGUAGCUAGCUGCUUGCCGUUUGUAAAUACACACUUUAUUUGUCCUAUCACGUGUGGAGUUUUUUUCUUCUUAAACUGUGCUAUGAAUUGAUCAAUGUGCCAAGAAAGCCUCUUUCAAUUAUAAUUAGUUUGAUGUUUUAUGUUCUAAAAAGUUUCAUUUAGUGAAUUAUAAUUAGUUUGAUGUUGUCAUUUAGCUACUUCAAAGUUAAGAAGCUUCUUCUGCUUCCUGUAGUAAUCUUCCAACAGAUUGCACUACAAGAGACAAAUACCCCCAAAAGUUUAGUACAAAUAAUAAGCACAUUUUUUUCCAGCAAAAUAAUCUUUUUUUAAACUAAACCAAACACAUGCUAAAAUGGAAAUAAGAGAGAGAGAGAAUAUAUAGUCACCUCCUUUGCAUGACUUUGGUCAUGAUCAUCCUCCAAUUGUUUUGUUGUCCUGGAGCUAGUCAUAAGAAUAUAUUCUUGGUAAGCAUUAAAUUUCGAGUUCCUAGAUUCUUUUUCAUUAAGUCCUCUUCUGAACUUGAAAUUCAGCACCAGAUCAACAUGAGCAAUGUGGUCAAGAAUCUCCUGAGAAACAUCACGACAUUUUUUGAGAGUGAAUAAAAUUGAAAAAUUAUGAGCAGUUCAUGUCAUGAUUUUGAAAGAUGAAAUGAAACAACUUACAGCUUGAAUCCUUGUUCGAGGGAAUCCAUCAAGAAUGAACCCAGUUUGGCCUCUUGAGUAUCCAUCCUCCAAUCUCUUCGAUAGUAGCCCAAAAAUAAUAUCAUCAGGGACAAGUUUUCCAUGAUCCAAGGAAUGUGCUAUCUGCAUUGGAAGAACCCCGUGUCACACUCAUAUUAGUUAAGAAAAUAAUUUUGCUACCCAUUACCCUAAUGGUAUUUUUGGACUUUAGAGCAGAGGAAAAAAUUAGGAAAAAGAGAUGAGUAAUGAUGUACUUUCUUUUGUUUAAUAAAAGAGAAUGAAAAAAGUGAAAAGAAAAGAGAAAAAUUGUUUUUUAAUCGUAAAAGUUCAAUUUUUUCUUCUAUUUGAUCUUCAAUUUAUAUUUAAAUUUUAAAACUUUCUCUCUUCCCUCCCUCAUCUUCUUUUAUAUUGAUUGGAAUUUUAUACUUUGUCAUUUAAAUAUUCAUUUGUUUCUCAAUAAAUGAGAGUAUAAAAAUCCAAUCAAAAGAAUAAAUGACAAAGUAUAAAAUUCCAAUCAUAAUUCAUAAUAUUUGGUAGAUAUGUUGAUUUUUACAAAAAAAAUAUAUGUUAAAAGUCAUUCAGUCAAAAAAAAUCUUAAAAGUCACAUAAAAACCAGUGUAAUAAUGAUUUUACAAUGUAAGUGCAUGUAUUAUUUAUUCAAUCAAUAACUAUUAAUUUUCUAAUAAACUUUGAAUCAAAUAAGCUUAACUAAAUUCUUAAUAAUAAGAACUUUUGCUUCCAGUGUUUAACCACUAAAUAAUUUAGAGGAUAAAAGUGGGCAGAAGAAAAAUACUAGUACUGUUUGAGAAACUAACUUGACGACCAAAAUUUUUUAAAAUGCAAUUAAUCUGAUGAUCAGUAUAACUUCGAAGGAUUCUUUUUAUGUUCUAAAAAGUUCCAUUUAUGUGUCUCUUGUAGUUCCAUUGGACUUAAUCUGAACUAACUUGUGUUGCUUUUGCAUCAAGUAAGAGUACGGUAAAAAUAUUUCUUUCAUUGAUAUAGUAGAAUUGAAUUUUAAUUUACUUGAAUAACAUUUUAAAUUUAAACCUUGUAAAUUUAAACCUUAUAUAUAUAUAUAUAUAUAUAUAUAUAUAUAUAUAUAUAUAUAUAUAUAUAUAUAUAUAUAUAUAUAUCAUUGGCAGAGAACUAAAUAUAUUUCGUAAAUGACAGAUAUUUAAAGUGGUUGUUAUACAUUUGAAACAUUAUUAUAUAUUUAAAAUAAUUUAUUUAAUAGUAGAAUUUAUGUUUAUUUUUUUCAUACAAAAUUUACUUUCGCUACUUAGAAACACGUACUCUCUAAAUGUGAUUAGUCUCCAAUGAGUUCAUGUCUCUAAUUUGAAAAAAAAAACAUUUAUUAUCCAUCAUCAUUAUACUUUAUAUUUUUUAAAAAAUAUAUAGAUAAUCAGUUAUAAACUUUUUUCUUUCUCUUCUACUGUCGUAUGUUCUAUUAUUCAUGUUAGUUGAGGUUUUUUUUUAUUUUAGUUACUUGAAAUUUUGUUUUCUAAAUGUGUUAAGUAUAUUUGUGAUUGUAGUUAUACUUGAGAUUUUUUUUAUAUGUCAUUUUUUUCACCUAAAGUAUGAUCAUAAUUUUUGCUACUAAUAAUAGAGAUCACUUUAAGAUUAUGUGAGACUAAACAUGAAUGUUCCUAUUUUUGAAUAAAUAUUAUGAACAAUAUUCUUUGGAAUCAUCGUUGGAUAUACGAUAGAUAUUAUAGUGAUAGAAAUUGUUUGAAAGAUUCUUUUGGCGAGGGGAUUGACCAGUUUGCAAGUAAAGCUAGCCAACAUGAUUAUUAUGACAAUGAUAGGGAUCAGAUGUCCUUGUGUUAAAUGCAAUUGUACUAGGAUUUUGGAUGAUAGGGUUGUCAAGGUUCACCUUUACAAAAAUAGAUUCAAGUCUAAUUAUUGGAUUUGGACUGAUCAUGUUGAAUACAUGUCGCAUUUGAACUUUUCCGAUGGAUAGCAAAAAUCUGUCUGUUAAAAUUUCCUACUAUCAUCUUUUCGACGAAUUUUUGUUCGACAAAAUUCCUUCAGAAAUUUAUAAUUAGUAAUGGAUUUUAGGUGUUUCUAACGAAUUUUGACGGUCAAAAAUACGUUUUCUUUAGUGUAACCAUAAACUCUUAGCAUGCAAACUUCAAAUGUUUCAUCUAAUUAAUACACAAAAAUAAGAGAGAUUAAGAAAAAUGAAAAAAAAAUGAAAAUUAAUCGAAAGCAAAAUGAAAAUGAAAAAUUAAUUAGAAAGCAGUAAUUUUGGGGUUGAGGCAAUGGAGGAUAAGGUUCCGAUUUAAGAAAUACAUGCAUGCAAGGUGGAUUUGUAUAUUAAACCGACAAUAAUAUUUUAAAAUAUAAAAUUAACUGAAUUGUUGUGGUUAAGAAGAGGAAAGUGGGAUAGUAUGAUAUUUUAAGAUAAAAAAUUUGGUAGUUCCAAUAUUUCUUAAGUUUUAAACAGAAAUGUGUUAAAUUUUUGCAAAAUAUAUAUAUUUUUAAAAAAGAAGUGAAUAUAGAAUACAAAUUAAAGAAAUUAUCAUAAUUUUAAAAAAGAAAAAAAGAGAGAAACACUCCAAUAUGACAGAUAUAAGAUCUGGAGAAAGAAGAAAAAAGAAAAAGAAAUGAGAGAACAAUAAGAAAAAUGGUAAAAAUGAAAGAGUUUUUUUUUUAUUAGAAAAACUCUUAUAGAAGGACUUAAAACUUUGUAUCCAAACAAAUCGCUUUUAAUCUUUGAUUUUGAGGCAGUACCAUUAAGAUAGAAUGAAAGCAACAAAGACAGAAAGGAAGGAAAGAAAAGACUAGUAUUUCCCUAAAUACAUGUACAUUUAUAUAUGCAAUUAUUUUAUUUCUUAUACCUCAACUAUUUAUAAACAUGAAAUUAGUUUCAUACUUUGUUUUCCAUCACUUCUUUUUGGUGUUGUUGUCUUUUAUCCUUUUUGUUUUAUUUUUCUCUGAUCCCAUUCAAAUUAAAUUUCAAAAAGCCAGAAAUUAUCAUUUAUAAAUCAAAUUUAAUUUUUAAAAUUUCCCUAACAUUUGUUACUCACCUUUAAUUUUUAAGGAGACAAACAAUUAAAAAAACUGUUUAAAAAGGAAAAAAAUUAAGUUGAAAACAAAAAAUGGGAAGUUCUAAUUAAUAAAUUUGUAGAUUUUUAAAAUUAACAAUAUGGGUAGUUUUAUAUUUCAGUAGAUGAAAAUGAUAAGUAAAAAGAAGCAAAACAGAAAUUAGUUAUUUUGUUGCUCUCCUUUGUUUUUUUUUUUAAAAAAAAUUAAGACAAUUAAAACUUAACUCCCUCUGUUUAUUUUAAAGGGAGACAAAUUAUUUUAAAAAGUUGUUUAAAAACUAGAAAAAAAAAUCAGUAAGUUGAAAACCAAAAAGGAAAAGUUCUAAUUAUUAAGCUGAUAGAUUUUAAAAUUUUAAAGUAAUGAACAGAUUUAAUUAAUAAACUGAGAUUUUUUUUUUAAUUUAAAGACACGCUUGUAUGUUUGUAUUUUUAUUUCGUUAUUGCGCUAAAAUUGAUAUAUUGUAACACUUUUCUUCUGGUCAAAUGUCGUCUAAUUUUGAUGUGUAUGUGUAUUUGUAUUUCUAUUGCAUUAAUUUGCAUAGAAAUAUACUAUAAAAAAGAGUUUAUUAUUUUCACAUAUAAAAAAAUUAGAGAGAUGGUAUAUGUUAUGAACCAAAAUACACACGAAAAGCAAGAAUAAGGGAUUUGACAAAUCAUGACCCUUAACACAAUACGUGGGCAGUUUAAAUGAUAACCAAGUAACCAAUCAAAAUUCAAAAAUUCAAAAUAAGUGUCAUAGUUUUAAAUGUAUGGACAAUGAUUUGCACCUCUGUGACCACUUAUUAUUCCCAUUAUCAUGUUCGAAUUGUUUAUGAUAGUACCACCUUAUGAAGGAUAUUUCUGUAUGUAAUAUUUGGCUUUUAAUGAUGUUUGGCAUAGGAAGGAGCUUCAUACAUUUUUGCUACUCUACACAUAAUCAAUGAAGUUUGAUUUUCACGCCCCAGUUUAGAGGUACUUUCAAUGUGAAUUUUAAAUAACAAAUUAAUCUAGGAUUUGCUAUACAUUCAGCAUCUUUAUCAAGUUGCAAGGAAAUCUGUGGCAAUUGGUAGAAUUGAAGCUACAAUUAGAAAAAUAACCAGUGUAAUAUUAACAUUUAAUAAUAAGCCUAAAGCACAUCAAUAGCACAACACUAUCCAAAAGUAAUAAUAAGUAAAUAAUUUUACUUUUACAAAAAAAAUAGGAUGAUCAAUCUACCUUUUUACUUCCGCUCACAUUGAGUGUCUCUGCAAUGUUAAAGGAGGGUGCAUCUUCCCACAACCUAAUGAAUGUCAAACACCUAGCGUAGCACCAAUGAAACCAUUGUUACCAAAUGAAAAAUGUUAAGUUACACAUUGUUAAUUUGUUUGGCAUGAUGUUGGGGAAAUAUUGACAUCUAUUUUGGACAAUUAUUGUUGGUUGGUGCAUUGUUCAGGUGCAAAUUACAACCUCCAUGAGGCCUGAAUUGUGAUCAUAAGAAUGAUCAUCCACACGAAAAAUAUAAAUUGUUGUCACUGCCAGAUAGGUAUUCCUAAAAAUAUGAAAGUCCAGACUAGUGUAGAAAGUGUAUUCUACGACGGUCCAAAUAAGUUUUAUACGACGGUUAUGAAUCGUCUUUAAAUCUAACAUCGUGGAAACCAUAAUGGUUAAAAAAAUCGUCUUAAAGAAGACAUAUUUCUAAAAUAAUUCUUAACUAAAAAUUAUCUUAAAAUGAAUUUCUUUAAGGAAAAAUUAAAAAAAUUGAUAAUUCUAAGACGGUUCUUUCAAAAACCGUCUAAGAAAAUAUAUUUUCUAAAAUGGUUCUUAGAAUCAUUUUUAAAAAAAAAUUAAAAAUUGAUGAUAAUUCUAAUACGGGGUUUUUUAAAAUCCGUCUUAGAAAGUAGACUUUGAUUCAAUGGGUGAGACUCGUUGAAUUAAAAAAAAAAAAAGAUAAAUACAAAGAAAAAGGGAGUUAUAUAUAAAAUUAGUAUUGAAAUCUGUGCACUACAUGAAUUUAAAAAAAGUAAAAAAUAUAAUAAAUUGAAUAAAAUAAAUAAAUAAAUUAAAAAAAAUUAUUCAAUUGACACAUUAUGAACUGAACAAUUUUAAUAAUAUUAUUGAUAAGAAGGAAAAGAAAUAUAAGAGUAUAAAUAUAAUUUUCAAAAUAAAUGAUUACUUGUUGCAGGUGAAGUUAUGACAAGAUCCUUUCCAUUUGGUUGGUGGAGGACCAAAUCCUUAUUCAUUGAAGCUCUCAGACUCUGGC